CCUANUGGUGGCAGCAGUUAAGAAUCUUGCGCAAUGGGCUCAAGCCUGACGCAGCGACGCCGCGUGGACGAUGAAGGUUCUUGGAUCAUAAAGUCCGAUAAGCAGGGAAGAAUAAGUCUUGAAUAAUACUUGGGAUGAUGACUGUACCUGCCUAAAGCCUCGGCUAACUACGUGCCAGCAGCCGCGGUAAUACGUAUGAGGCGAGCGUUGUUCGGAAUUAUUGGGCGUAAAGGGCGUGUAGGCGGGGGACUAAGUUAGGUGUGAAAGCCGUGGGCUCAACCCACGAAUUGCAUUUAAUACUGGUUCUCUUGAGUUCGGGAGAGGAGAGCGGAAUUCCCGGUGUAGCGGUGAAAUGCGUAGAUAUCGGGAAGAACACCAGUGGCGAAGGCGGCUCUCUGGACUAGAACUGACGCUAAGGCGCGAAAGCGUGGGGAGCAAACGGGAUUAGAUACCCCGNUANUC
rnacentral:rRNA from 1 species